rfam:Populus trichocarpa scaffold_11_contig_440, whole genome shotgun sequence.
UCUAGAACUCGAGAUAUGGGCUAAACACUAAGUAGUGUCUGGGCUGCAGGACAAAUUCUGACUUCUCCGUUGUUGCUACCAUUUGAACUCGAAAAUGACACUUUUAAAUCUUAGACUCCGCAUGAAAGUUUUAGGUCUAUGUCUUAGAUUUCCAUA